rnacentral:rRNA from 1 species
AUUGAACGCUGGCGGCACGCCUAACACAUGCAAGUCGAGCGGCAGCGCGAUAUGUAGCAAUACAUAUUGGCGGCGAGCGGCGGACGGGUGAGGAACACGUAGGAACCUACCCUCGAGUGGGGGAUAACCAAGGGAAACUUUGGCUAAUACCGCAUGAACUCGAGAGAGCAAAGCUGCCGCAAGGGGGCGCUCGAGGCGGGGCCUGCGUCCGAUUAGCUAGUUGGUGAGGUAAGAGCUCACCAAGGCGAUGAUCGGUAACUGGUCUGAGAGGACGACCAGUCACACUGGGACUGAGACACGGCCCAGACUCCUACGGGAGGCAGCAGUGGGGAAUAUUGGACAAUGGGGGCAACCCUGAUCCAGCGAUGCCGCGUGAGUGAAGAAGGCCUUCGGGUCGUAAAGCUCUUUAGGUUGGGAAGAAGGGUGAUGGAGGCAAUGCUAUCACUUUGACGGUACCGACAGAAUAAGCACCGGCAAACUCUGUGCCAGCCGCCGCCGUAAAAC